rnacentral:rRNA from 1 species
UACGAAGGGGGCUAGCGUUGUUCGGAAUCACUGGGCGUAAAGCGCGCGCAGGUGGUUCCUUAAGUCUGAUGUGAAAGCCCACGGCUCAACCGUGGAGGGUCAUUGGAAACUGGGGAACUUGAGUGCAGAAGAGGAAAGUGGAAUUCCAAGUGUAGCGGUGAAAUGCGUAGAGAUUUGGAGGAACACCAGUGGCGAAGGCGACUUUCUGGUCUGUAACUGACACUGAGGCGCGAAAGCGUGGGGAGCAAACAGG